CUGAAAUGUAUACUUUUAAAGGACCCCACAUAAUGGAUGCUCUUUCUGAAGCAAAUGGCACCUUUGCCAUCCAGCUUUUCAAGAUCCUAUGUCAAGACAACCCUUCACACAACGUGUUUUAUUCUCCUGUGAGCAUCUCCUCUGCCCUCGCCAUGGUCUUCCUGGGGGCAAAAGGAAACACUGCUGCCCAGAUGGCCCAGGCGCUCUCAUUAAGCACAGAGAAAGACAUUCACCAGAAUUUCCAGUCACUUCUUGCUGAAGUGAACAAAUGUGGCACCCAGUACUUGCUCAGAAUAGCCAACAGGCUCUUUGGAGAAAAGACUUGCGAAUUCCUCUCGACCUUUAAGGAAUCCUGUCUUCGGUUCUACCAUGCCGAGCUGGAGCAGCUUCCCUUUGCCAAUGCUGCAGAGCAGUCCAGGGAACACAUCAACGCUUGGGUCUCCAAAAAGACUGAAGGUAAAAUUCGAGAGGUGCUGCCAGGUAACUCAGUCAGUGCAGACACCAGGCUGGUUCUUGUCAGCGCCAUCUACUUCAAAGGAAGGUGGGAUGAACAGUUCAACAAAAGCUACACAAGGGAAAUGCCUUUUAAAAUAAACCAGAAGGAACAAAGGCCAGUGUUGAUGAUGUUUCAGGAGGCUAUGUUUAAGCUCGCCUAUAUUAAAGAGGUGCAGACCCAGAUCCUGGAGCUUCCCUACGUGGGUAAGGAGCUGAGCAUGAUCGUUCUGCUCCCGGACGAGAACGUGGAUCUAAGCUCGGUGGAAAAAAGUCUCACUUUGGAGAAAUUCAGAGUGUGGACCCAGCCAGAUCGGAUGCAGAGCACAGAGGUGGAAGUUUCCCUUCCGAGAUUUCAGCUGGAAGAGGAUUAUGACAUGGCAUCCAUGCUCCGGGGACUGGGAAUGGUUGAUGCCUUUCAGGAGGGCACGGCUGACUUCUCGGCCAUGUCAGGAGAAAAAGAUCUGUGUCUGUCCCAGUUCCUGCACAAGAGUUUUGUGGAGGUGAAUGAGGAAGGCUCAGAGGCCGCAGCCGCGUCAGCCAUCGUGGCUGUGGAAUGUUGUAUGGACCCUGGCCCCACGUUCUGCGCCGACCACCCCUUCCUUUUCUUCAUUAGGCACAACGCAGCCAACACUAUUCUGUUCUGUGGCAGGUUUUCCUCUCCGUAAAGAUGGUCUUUUAAAAAGAAGAAGAAGAGAUACAAGGACAAACAAGCAGAGAAAAGGCUAGCCGUCUGCAAGCCAAGAAGAGGCCUCAGGAGAAACCAGCCCUGCUGACCUCUUGAUUUCUGACUGACUUCCAGCCUCCAGAACUGUGAGAAAGGAAUGUCUGCUGUAGCUGCACAUGAGGACCUCUGCCAGUGCUGUUGGAAUGAGAAAGAAAGUGAAAAGUGUAGUAGGACCAUGAAGAUCUGUGGUUACUUCUUCCUUGGCUCACUUUCCACAUAAACCCAGAGCUGUUGUUUUGUGGGAAGAUCUGGGGCUUGGAGAGAGUCGAUCAGCUUUAAAGUCCAGGCUAUGCCUCUGAUCCAUUAAGGAAGCUUUCCUAAGUCAUAUAACUUUUCUGAACCUUAUAAAAGAUAAUAUCAGCUUGGCUUAUAGUCACAAAACACAGAACAUCUGUAAAGUAAUGAAAUAUGUAUGUGAAAGUGCUUUAUAAACUGCUAAAUAAUGUGUAUCUAAGCUAUAAAAAUAUUGACUCUGUAAUACCCAAAGAUUUUUCUAAUUCAAAAAACUUCUGUAACUGCAUAAGAGUUUAUUCAAGAGAACAAAUCCAACUUUUACACUGGAAACUCAUAUUGUACGUGGAGAAAGUGUUGCUUGGACUGAAAAAUAGUUCUGAAUAUGGGCAGAAUUAUACCCAGACAUACAGCUUUAUGAGUGUGAGGGCCUCCUGCCUAAUUGAAAUUGGUGUAGUUUUGAGAGUCCUCUCUCAGGUGUCAUCUCUGCUAAGGUGCUCAUGUGUCCCAGCUUUUGGAUUUGGGAAUUCUACUUGGCAAGACUUCCUUGUCCUGCCAUUUUGUUUUCCCUCCCCCAGGUGAAUAAUGUCCUUGUCCCUCCAUUACUUUGCAAGUUCCUCUCUGUAUAUCAUGGAAUUCUAGAAAGGUAGCACUGGAAUGGCCAUAGGAACAUCUAGCUUAGAGGUUCUUCACACUGGCCACAUAGGAAAAUAUCCUGGGGAACUAUCAUCCUAUCUAGGCCAGGAUAUUUUACUUUUCUUCAGUGUAUUCCUUUGCAGUGUUUGAAUUUUUAUCAUAAAUGUAGUUUUAACAACCAAUAUAAUUAAAUCAAUGAAAAGAAAAUAAUGACGUGCACCUUGAAGUUUGCACAUAAAAUUAGUUCUCCUUGGCCUCCUGGACAAAUGAGGUUCGAUGGAACAGUUGUAAAGAUAGGUCUAUUAAAACAAACAAACAUCCCAAGCCUAGCUUCCACUGGGAAUUUUUGUUUAGUUAUUUUAGGUUGAUGCUUCAACAUUGGUAUUUUUAAAAACCUUUAUGUGCUAUCAGAGUUGAAACAUAUAGAUCUAGUCCAGUGGUUCUCCAGAGUGUGGUCUUGUAUAAGCUCCUGGGGUCCAGCCUCAGCAAGUCCAGGGGUCCCCAAAGAAUGGACAGUGUUGGCAAGAGGAAUGAGAGAUCCACUCAACAGGUUGUCUUCAGCAAUCAGGCAUCUCUAGUUUAUUUGAUCGGUACACUUCUUAUAUAGGCACUGUCUAUGGUUACUUCAGUACAGAAGGUUUUUUACAGUGAGUAAUGGGGAAAAAAGGAACAAACACAGAUUAGUAAUAAGUAGCUAUAUAGAGAGGAAGGGUAAUCAUUGUUCUUAACCUUUAGUAGUACAAUAGGAAAAGAUUAUAUUUAAGGCACACUACAUUCCGAUGUGGCCAUAAAAUAGUCAAGGACUUAGUGGUCUGAUUACAAGAUACAAGUAGGUCCUUGGGGUCCUGUGAAAGCAGGAACAUGGUGGUUUUCUUUUUUGUCUGUUUUGUUUUUUUUUUAAGUUAUCUAGUCUUUGUUGCCUGGAGUCUGGAGAUAACUGAUGAUUUUUCCAGGCUUGUUCAUGUGGCGCCAUGGCCCUGAAGUUUUUAUGCUCCCAAGUCUCUAGCCCAGGAGAGUUGGUCAUGGGUAUCUAGUCUAAGGGAGAGAUAUAAGGUCAGCAGAGAUGGCAGGAGCCGUGCAAACCAGGCCUUAACCUGAGAGGCUUGACCAUCUAUCAGGGCCUCAGCAGCCCCCAACAGAUCUAGUCCAGUGGUUCUCCAGAGUGUGGUCUUGUAUAAGCAACAUUGCAAUCACCUGGGAAUUUGUUAGAAAUGUACAUUCUCUUUUAAAAAUUUUAUUUAUUUAUUUAUUUGAGAGAGAGAGAGGCAGAACACACAUGAACAGGGGUGGGAGCAGAGGGAGAGGGAUAAACAGACUCCACACUGAGCAUGGAGCCCAAUGCAGGCCUUGAUCCCACAACCCUGAGAUCAUGACCUGAGCCAAAAUCAAGAGUCAUACUUUACUGACUGAGCCAUCCAGGUGUCCCAAAAUGUAAAUUCUUGCAUACUCCAUCCCAGACCUUAGCAAUUCUGAGAAUGAGGUCCCUCCAAGUGGUGGUAAUGUUUGAGAACCACUGAUCUAGCCCAACACCUCAUGCCACAGGUGUUGAUGAACCGGAAGUUCAGAGAUUAAUAAGCAAAUUGAUGUCACUUCUAGUUCUAGGCAAGGUGCAGUAACAAGUAUUGGACUUGUCCUCUCAUUGUAGUUAACCAUAAAACUGGACAAUAUAUAUGAACUAGCUGCUUUCAGGAAUUGAGUGGACAGUGCAAGGCUGUGAUCUUUGAAAGAUAGGCAACACAUGAGAUGGGGUCUAUAUUCUACCUGAGUGCACUUCCUAAACUGUAGCACAGGGAAGAGGAGCCCAAACAGAAAGGAGCAGUCUCACUGGGUAGAAUGAACAAGAUCAGAGUCUAAGGUUGCUGGAGCAGUUGCAAUUGGAGGACAUGGUGCCACAGAAAAGGGAGAAACACAGAAAAGUAGCCCCAAGACAUGCAGAGGAAUUUCCUUGAGUCUAACUGAAUAGUGAGCUGCAAGAUGAGAUGAGAUUCUGGGAGAUUUGGCAGGGAACAGACAGGGUCCUGAGGGCUGAACAAAGAUUCCAGAUUGCAUGGUCCUGCAAUGCAGUUAGACUGCAUUGUUAGACUUCUGAACUUUCAGAGUUAAGAAAACCCUGCUGAGGGGCGCCUGGGUGGAUCAGUGGGUUAAGCUGCUGCCUUCGGCUCGGGUCGGGUCGUGAUCUCAGGGUCCUGGGAUUGAGUCCCCGAGUUGGGCUCUCUGCUCAGCAGGGAGCCUGCUUCCCUCUCUCUCUCUCUCUCUGCCUGCCUCUCUGCCUACUUGUGAUAUCUGUCUGUUAAAUAAAUAAAUAAAAUCUUUAAAAAAAGAAAGAAAGAAAACCCUGUUGAACAACUUGGGCAUCUGAUUGAGAGUCCAGGAAGCCCAGGCCUUAGGACUAGGGUUAAUAUAUCCCAAGAAUAAGGGCUAGUCUAGGACCUUGCUAAUAAAGCUUAAUUAACCUCAGCAGCAUCAAACUGAGCCACCAAGUAAGAACGAAACUCAACUGUAUUUGAAGGAAAGCAACAUAACCCACAAUGUCCAGCACAGAGUAAAAAAUUACGAAGUAUAUGAAAGUGUAAGUAAAUAUGACCCAUAGCCAGGGGAAAAAAGCAGCAAAAAGAAACAGACACAAAAAUCAUGCAAAUUUUGAAAUUAACAGCCAAAGAUGGCAAUAUAACUGUUAUAAAAAUGUUAAAAGAUUUAAGAAAUACAUGGCAUAAUGAAUGAACAGAUAUAAAAACCCAAUAGAGAAGUAGAUACUAAAACACACACACACCCCCACACACACACGAGAAAGAAAGUCUAGAAUUGAAAAGCCUUAAUGGGGAUCAGACUUUGCCUUAAAAAAAACCCAAAAAUCAAUGAAUACAUUAUGACUUUUACUCCUAAAUACUUCAGUAUGCAUUUAUUUUUUUAAAAAGACAUUUUCCAGGCACCUGUGUGGCUCAGUCAAUUAAGGGUCUGCCUUGGUCCCAGGUCAUGAUCUCAGGGUCCUGGGAUCAAGCCCCAUGUCAAGCUCCGUGAUCAGCGGGGAUCCUGCUUCUCCCUCUCCCUCUGCCCCUCCACCUUGCCUGUGCUCUUUCUCAUGCUGUCUCUUUCUCUUUCAAAUAAAUAAAAUCUUAAAGAAAAAGACAUUUUCCUUCAUAAUUAAACACCAUAUUCAUACUUACCAAAUGAACAAUUAUUUUCUCAUAUCUAAUCCACAUUCAAAUUUCCCUAUGGUCCUGGAAAUAUCUUCUCUUAAAAAAAGAUGUAUUUAUUUAUUUGACAGAGAGAGAGAGAUAGUGUGAGAGCAGGAAGAAGGGCAGAGGGAGAGAGAGAAUCCUCAAGCAGACUCCUCGGGGAGUGCAGAGCCCAAAGACGUGGUGCUCGAUCCCAGGAUCCUGAGAUCAUAACUGGAGCUGAAAUCAAGAGUUGGUCACUCAACCAACUGAGUCACUCAGGCAUCCCUGGAAAUGUCUUUUAUAGCUCUUUUCUUCUCCUGAGAAUCCAUUCAAGGGUGUGUUAUCAAAUUUCACUGUUAUGUCUCUUAAAACUCUUUUCUUUUUUUUUUUUUUAAAGAUUUUAUUUAUAUAUUUGACAGAGAGAGAUCACAAGUAGGCAGAGAGGCAGGCAGAGAGAGAGAGAGGAGGAAGCAGGCUCCCUGCUGAGCAGAGAGCCCGAUGCGGGACUCGAUCCCAGGACCCUGAGAUCAUGACCUGAGCCGAAGGCAGCGGCUUAACCCACUGAGCCACCCAGGCGCCCCUCUUAAACUCUUUUCAUCCAGGACAGCUUCUCUGAACACCUCAUCUCCUUCAUUUUCCCAAAUAUUGAGAAAGAAGACAUCAUUCUUGUGUCAUGUCCUGCAAACAAGAUUGCUAUUGAUACUCAUCUUAGUUGAUUUCAGCUUAAAUAGGAUUUGAAAAAAAAAAAAGAUACACAAAUGAAACAGUUUCUGGAACUUUAUAACUUUAGCCCCUAAAGCAGCUAGCAAUGUCCUACCUACAUUUCAUUUAAUCAAA